ACUCGCCUUGAUAAGAAUGAAAGAGGCCCUUGUGGCUUCUUCACAAUAUACAUCUGGGGAAGGCCUUGCCACCUACUCUGGCAUCUAACCAUGUUUUUUC
ensembl:snRNA